AUUGAACGCUGGCGGCAUGCCUUACACAUGCAAGUCGAACGGUAACGCGGGGCAACCUGGCGACGAGUGGCGAACGGGUGAGUAAAGCAUCGGAACGUGCCCAGUAGUGGGGGAUAGCCCGGCGAAAGCCGGAUUAAUACCGCAUACGACCUAUGGGUGAAAGGUGGGGAUCGCAAGACCUCUCGCUAUUGGAGCGGCCGAUGUCAGAUUAGGUAGUUGGUGGGGUAAAGGCCUACCAAGCCGACGAUCUGUAGCUGGUCUGAGAGGACGACCAGCCACACUGGGACUGAGACACGGCCCAGACUCCUACGGGAGGCAGCAGUGGGGAAUUUUGGACAAUGGGCGCAAGCCUGAUCCAGCCAUGCCGCGUGCGGGAAGAAGGCCUUCGGGUUGUAAACCGCUUUUGUCAGGGAAGAAAUCCUUUGGGUUAAUACCUCGGGGGGAUGACGGUACCUGAAGAAUAAGCACCGGCUAACUACGUGCCAGCCGCCGCUGUAA
rnacentral:rRNA from 1 species